rnacentral:rRNA from 1 species
GACGAACGCUGGCGGCGUGCUUAACACAUGCAAGUCGAGCGGUAAGGCCCUUUCGGGGGUACACGAGCGGCGAACGGGUGAGUAACACGUGGGUGACCUGCCCUCAGCUCUGGGAUAAGCCCGGGAAACUGGGUCUAAUACCGGAUAUGACUUCAUGACGCAUGUUGUGGAGUGGAAAGCCUUGUGCGGCUGAGGAUGGGCCCGCGGCCUAUCAGCUUGUUGGUGGGGUGAUGGCCUACCAAGGCGA